rnacentral:rRNA from 1 species
GAUGAACGCUGGCGGCGUGCCUAAUACAUGCAAGUCGAGCGAACGGACGAGAAGCUUGCUUCUCUGAUGUUAGCGGCGGACGGGUGAGUAACACGUGGAUAACCUACCUAUAAGACUGGGAUAACUUCGGGAAACCGGAGCUAAUACCGGAUGAUAUUUUGAACCGCAUGGUUCAAAAGUGAAGGACGGUCUUGCUGUCACUUAUAGAUGUAUCCGCGCUGCAUUAGCUAGUUGGUAAGGUAACGGCUUACCAAGGCAACGAUGCAUAGCCGACCUGAGAGGGUGAUCGGCCACACUGGAACUGAGACACGGUCCAGACUCCUACGGGAGGCAGCAGUAGGGAAUCUUCCGCAAUGGGCGAAAGCCUGACGGAGCAACGCCGCGUGAGUGAUGAAGGUCUUCGGAUCGUAAAACUCUGUUAUUAGGGAAGAACAUAUGUGUAAGUAACUGUGCACAUCUUGACGGUACCUAAUCAGAAAGCCACGGCUAACUACGUG